rnacentral:rRNA from 1 species
CCUACGGGAGGCAGCAGUGGGGAAUAUUGGACAAUGGGCGAAAGCCUGAUCCAGCAAUGCCGCGUGAGUGAUGAAGGCCUUAGGGUUGUAAAGCUCUUUUACCAGGGAUGAUAAUGACAGUACCUGGAGAAUAAGCUCCGGCUAACUCCGUGCCAGCAGCCGCGGUAAUACGGAGGGAGCUAGCGUUGUUCGGAAUUACUGGGCGUAAAGCGUGCGUAGGCGGCUAUUCAAGUCAGAGGUGAAAGCCCGGGGCUCAACCCCGGAACGGCCUUUGAAACUAGGUAGCUAGAAUCUUGGAGAGGUUAGUGGAAUUCCGAGUGUAGAGGUGAAAUUCGUAGAUAUUCGGAAGAACACCAGUGGCGAAGGCGACUAACUGGACAAGUAUUGACGCUGAGGUACGAAAGCGUGGGGAGCAAACAGGAUUAGAUACCCUGGUAGUCCACGCCGUAAACGAUGAUAACUAGCUGUCCGGGCACUUGGUGCUUGGGUGGCGCAGCUACGACAUUAAGUUAUUCCGUCCGUCGGGUAGGUACGGUCGCGAGAAUUAAACUAACAAGAAGUAGACGCGUGAGACGNGCCGACGACGACGACGAGGGAGUAGG